rnacentral:lncRNA from 1 species
ACAUGUUUUUGCACACGGUUCUGCAUAUGGUGGGCGUUGUAUCAGGAUGUGGAUGAGUGUGGCUUUCACUGUGUACCAGAGAGCAUUUCCUCAGGUAACUGGGUGGGUUUCUAUGUAGGCAGAACUGACCAUAAACUGUGGCACAGGUAAAUGAAACUGAGUCAUUGAACUGUUCCAGGGACCACAGUAAAGGCCAAGGUC